AUGCAAGUCGAGCGAAUGGAUUAAGAGCUUGCUCUUAUGAAGUUAGCGGCGGACGGGUGAGUAACACGUGGGUAACCUGCCCAUAAGACUGGGAUAACUCCGGGAAACCGGGGCUAAUACCGGAUAACAUUUUGAACCGCAUGGUUCGAAAUUGAAAGGCGGCUUCGGCUGUCACUUAUGGAUGGACCCGCGUCGCAUUAGCUAGUUGGUGAGGUAACGGCUCACCAAGGCAACGAUGCGUAGCCGACCUGAGAGGGUGAUCGGCCACACUGGGACUGAGACACGGCCCAGACUCCUACGGGAGGCAGCAGUAGGGAAUCUUCCGCAAUGGACGAAAGUCUGACGGAGCAACGCCGCGUGAGUGAUGAAGGCUUUCGGGUCGUAAAACUCUGUUGUUAGGGAAGAACAAGUGCUAGUUGAAUAAGCUGGCACCUUGACGGUACCUAACCAGAAAGCCACGGCUAACUACGUGCCANCAGCCGCGGUAAUACGUAGGUGGCAAGCGUUAUCCGGAAUUAUUGGGCGUAAAGCGCGCGCAGGUGGUUUCUUAAGUCUGAUGUGAAAGCCCACGGCUCAACCGUGGAGGGUCAUUGGAAACUCGGGAGA
rnacentral:rRNA from 1 species